UACGAAGGGUGCAAACGUUGCUCGGAAUUAUUGGGCGUAAAGCGCACGUAGGCGGCAUUGCAAGUCGGAUGUGAAAUCCCUCGGCUUAACCAAGGAAGUGCAUCCGAAACUGCAGUGCUUGAGUACUUAAGAGGAUCGCGGAAUUCCCGGUGUAGAGGUGAAAUUCGUAGAUAUCAGGAGGAACACCGGUGGCGAAGGCGGUUCUCUGGGCAUGUCCUGACGCUGAGGAGCGAAAGUGUGGGGAGCGAACAGG
rnacentral:rRNA from 1 species